AGAACGAACGCUGGCGGCAUGCCUAACACAUGCAAGUCGAACGAGACCUUCGGGUCUAGUGGCGCACGGGUGCGUAACGCGUGGGAAUCUGCCCUUGGGUUCGGAAUAACAGUUAGAAAUGACUGCUAAUACCGGAUGAUGACGUAAGUCCAAAGAUUUAUCGCCCAGGGAUGAGCCCGCGUAAGAUUAGCUAGUUGGUGGGGUAAAGGCCUACCAAGGCAACGAUCUUUAGCUGGUCUGAGAGGAUGAUCAGCCACACUGGGACUGAGACACGGCCCAGACUCCUACGGGAGGCAGCAGUGGGGAAUAUUGGACAAUGGGCGAAAGCCUGAUCCAGCAAUGCCGCGUGAGUGAUGAAGGCCUUAGGGUUGUAAAGCUCUUUUCUCAGGGAAGAUCCAAGACGGUACCUGAGGAAUAAGCGACGGCUAACUACGUGCCAGCAGCCGC
rnacentral:rRNA from 1 species